GGUGGACAAUGGUAAGGAUGAACUGCGUGGCUUGGUGGAAGGGUGAUGUGAAAAAUAAGUUAACACACAAAAUUAAACCCUCUUUUUAUCAAAUGUAGUAAAGUAUGUAAGUAUGGAUCGUUCUAGGCCGGGGAUUAGGAGGGAUUGCUAAACACUUGAAAACUGACUUAAAAACAUAAAAACAAAAUUUAAAACACUAAACUAGACUCAAAGAAUGAAAAACUAUACUUUAAAAUACUUAAACAAACAUAAAACUCAAAACAGCAACCUAAUGACUCAAAACU
rnacentral:lncRNA from 1 species